AUCUUGUCAUACUGUCUCAGGUAAAGGUGAAGGUUGGUGCAUGUUAAACUUUUAAACCCGCUGCAAUUUAUUGCACCUGUCCUAAGUCAGAAGCCUCUUGUUCAGUGGUUGUCGUUUGUUGGAGUGCUUCAUAGGUAUUUCUCGUUUCUCGUUUUUUUUAUAUAGAUAAGACUGUUGGUUUUUCUCUUUGAAUUGUUUUACACUUAUUCUUUUCGGUCGUUUAUAGCUUGCUACUCGUCGUGAGGUAAGGCUCCGUGUUGAAGAAAGUGCUUUGACCUAUAAUGGUAAACUUUUUAUACUUUGUGACUUGGAUGGAGAGUUGUCUGUUUGGCACUCAUAUUACAUCUUCUUAUUUAUAAGGAGACAACUAUUGAGGAUUUUCAAUGAUAAGCGAAAGUGUUGUUAUCCUGUUGUAUACGGUUAUUUUAGGAGCAUCUAGACAAUUUUACAUCUAACUUUCCUUUCAUGCAAGAGUAAAUGUAAGACUACUGUUGUUUUUUUUUUGGUUUUUUUUACUUUAGUGCAUCCAUACCCUAUCAGCUGUUUGGAUUCGAUUUGUGAAUAUUAAGCAGUAUUCAGGACCGAUUUACACAGAAAGAAUACAACAAACGCACUAUUUGUUCCGUAAACUACAGUUGAUGCGUAAUUUAGUUGAUUCCUAACCUUUUAUAUCACCUGUGUAUGGUUAUAUUGUAGCAUUGCGGAGGCUCAACCCAUAGUUUUAGUUGUAAACGAUGGUCUGAUAGUUAAACUAUUUGUCAUUGAUUUUUCGUAAAUAAAUCUUAAAAAAUUUGGGUUGUCAUUCAUUCAUUGUAUGUUUUUUUUGUUAGUUCGUUGUUUUCUCUUGUCUACCUUUUUUUAUAAUCGACAAAAAAGCUCAUCAUAGCUUAUGUUUGAAUGUAUUAUGCUGUGCAGAAUCAAACUCAGCGAAGUUUCGUUUGUCCAUCUCCAUGUAUAAAUUCAAUUUCAUUACUAUGUAAACAGGCACAAAUUCAUGCAAUGAAAUAUGUUGUAUUUACAGUGUUUUUGGCGCACACGUAGUGAUUAACAAGAGUGCACACGCUGAAAUGUCUCGCCUUCUAUACUAAUCAUUGAUAUUAUGUUGAUAGUCCUAAGUAUAAAGCUAAGCUUUAAUACAACUGUCACAUAAACUUAACAUUAACCAAGAUAACUAAACAAAGACCAGUGAACCUUGAAAAUGAGGUCAAGGUCAGAUGAACCAUGCCAAGCAGACAUGUACAGCUAACAAUGCUUCUAUACAACAUAUAUAGUUGAC
rnacentral:lncRNA from 1 species